rnacentral:rRNA from 1 species
UGAACGCUGGCGGCGUGCCUAAUACAUGCAAGUCGAGCGAACAGAUGAGGAGCUUGCUCCUCUGACGUUAGCGGCGGACGGGUGAGUAACACGUGGAUAACCUACCUAUAAGACUGGGAUAACUUCGGGAAACCGGAGCUAAUACCGGAUAAUAUAUUGAACCGCAUGGUUCAAUAGUGAAAGACGGUUUUGCUGUCACUUAUAGAUGGAUCCGCGCCGCAUUAGCUAGUUGGUAAGGUAACGGCUUACCAAGGCAACGAUGCGUAGCCGACCUGAGAGGGUGAUCGGCCACACUGGAACUGAGACACGGUCCAGACUCCUACGGGAGGCAGCAAUAGGGAAUCUUCCGCAAUGGGCGAAAGCCUGACGGAGCAACGCCGCGUGAGUGAUGAAGGUCUUCGGAUCGUAAAACUCUGUUAUUAGGGAAGAACAAAUGUGUAAGUAACUAUGCACGUCUUGACGGUACCUAAUCAGAAAGCCACGGCUAACUACGUG